rnacentral:rRNA from 1 species
UGGCUUAGUGUUCGAAAGAGAACCGUAACACAGGUGCCGCAUGGCUGUCGUCAGCUCGUGUCGUGAGAUGUUGGGUUAAGUCCCGCAACGAGCGCAACCCUUGUCAUUAGUUGCUACAUUCAGUUGGGCACUCUAAUGAGACUGCCGGUGACAAACCGGAGGAAGGUGGGGAUGACGUCAAGUCCUCAUGGCCCUUAUAGGUGGGGCUACACACGUCAUACAAUGGCUGGUACAAAGGGUUGCCAACCCGCGAGGGGGAGCUAAUCCCAUAAAACCAGUCGUAGUCCGGAUCGCAGUCUGCAACUCGACUGCGUGAAGUCGGAAUCGCUAGUAAUCGUGGAUCAGAAUGUCACGGUGAAUACGUUCCCGGGUCUUGUACACACCGCCCGUCACACCAUGGGAGCGGGUUCUGCCAGAAGUAGUUAGCUUAACCGCAAGGAGGGUGAUUACCACGGCAGG